rnacentral:rRNA from 1 species
AUUGAACGCUGGCGGCAUGGCUAAAACAUGCAAGUCGAGCGCGAAAGAGGAGCAAUCCUCGAGUAGAGCGGCGAAAGGGUGAGUAAUACGUUCCUACGUACCUCGAGGUCAGGGAUAGCCAGGGGAAACUCUGGGUAAUAUCUGAUGUGGUCGAGAGAUCAAAGGCUUGCCGCCUUGAGAGCGGGGAACGUCCUAUCAGCUAGUUGGUGAGGUAACGGCUCACCAAGGCUUUGACGGGUAGCGGGUGUGAGAGCAUGGCCCGCCACAUCGGAACUGAGACACUGUCCGGACUCCUACGGGAGGCUGCAGUAACGAAUCUUCCGCAAUGCGCGCAAGCGUGACGGAGCAAUGCCGCGUGCAGGAUGAAGCCCUUCGGGGUGUAAACUGCUGUCAGGGUUUAGAAACACAAUGAUCAAACCCAAAGGAAAGAGACGACUAACUCUGUGCCAGCAGUCGCGGUAAUACAGAGGUCUCGAGCGGUU